UUGAUUGUUUAGAAGCUAUACUCAGAAGUGCCACCGUAAAAACAAGAGUUUAGUGGUCUUCUGGCGGGCACCCUUUAGCGGCAGGGCGGCCGGGCCCCUCCCAGGGGCCACCCGCCGAAGCAACGAUAGUAGGUUCACAGGGGUUCGAGUCGGAGACUCUUUCGUAAUGAUCCCUCCGCUGGUUCACCAACGGAGA
rnacentral:misc_RNA from 1 species